CCUAAAUGGAGUGUGUAAGUCUCAAGAUCAAAGAAAUCAAUUUCAAGCCCUUGGAAAGUGUUCCACAACUUCCUUUGCUUGCUUUGAAAUGUGUUUUUCAAUUUUUCAUGUAUUUGAAUUAGCAUGUUUACUUGAAUGUGAAUCAAUCUUAAUUAUGGAGAAAUUUCCAACAUUUUCAAAGUAAUGUUGUCACUUGUGGUAUGAUGAUACAAUUGAACCAUUUAAAUAUUUAUUUUAGGCAUUCUUAAUUACAAUAUACAGCAACAAAAACUCAUACUAUAUGUAUGAAGUCGAAUCUGGAUAUUAUUUAAUUUUUCAAAUACUUUGAAUGAGUUGUUGAGGACUAAGAAAUGCAAUUAGUUGAGUUGUGAGUAUGAUACUUGUCAUAAACUUGCCGUUGAGAUAUAACUUGUCACCAAUAUUAAUACGUAUGGCAAAAGUAUACACACAAUGUUUUUUUACUUAUUCAGAAUGAGUUAAGUUUUUCUUAGCUUCGUGCAUAUAUGAGAUAGAUGAAUCUUAAUCUCUAUGCCAAUAUGUUAUUACUAGGGAUCAACCAUGAAGGAGCUCGAAGAGUAUCAUUUGAUCGUGCUUCAACCUACGUGCAUCAAGUCAAUCAUGAGAAGCUUAGAGUUGCUAUUGGAAUUAAAAGUCAAUUUUCUUAAAAGUUGCUUGGGAGGAGGAAUUGGAGUGGAUUCUCACCUUGUUCAUAGAUAGGAGUUACUUCUACAAAGAAGAAAAUGUGGAAAUCAGUGUGGUGUGCUUGGGUGUGGGCUCUAUGGUGUCACAGGAACAACAUCAUAUUCAAGCAACAAAUCAUUGAUUUGGAUUCGGUGGUGGGAAACAUUAAUUAUAAAUCAUGGAUAUGGUUGAAAGCUAAUGUGAAGGAAUUUCAUUUCUCUUUUAUUGAGGGGUACUCUAACCCGGCUACAUGCUUACAAUGCUUAAGGUUGUGAAUGUAUAUCAUGAAUCUGCUAACCUUUUUUGGGAGGGCAGUUUCGUGUUUUUGGAAACUCAAAACAUAUUAGAAUUGUAGUGGAUAUAACUGGUGUACAAGAAGGGAUAUGUCAUUUAGCUUCUCUGUAAUAAUAUACUUUGUAAGGGAUAUGUUUUCCUGCUUUUUUGUCAUUUUGCUGGUUGUAAUGAUAAUUAUGUAAUUAUCACA